UGGGGAAUUUGGACAAUGGGCGAAAGCCUGAUCCAGCAAUGCCGCAUGUGUGAAGAAGGCCUUCGGGUUGUAAAGCACUUUUGUCCGGAAAGAAAUCCUUGGCUCUAAUACAGUCGGGGGAUGACGGUACCGGAAGAAUAAGCACCGGCUAACUACGUGCCAGCAGCCGCGGUAAUACGUAGGGUGCAAGCGUUAAUCGGAAUUACUGGGCGUAAAGCGUGCGCAGGCGGUUUGCUAAGACCGAUGUGAAAUCCCCGGGCUCAACCUGGGAACUGCAUUGGUGACUGGCAGGCUAGAGUAUGGCAGAGGGGGGUAGAAUUCCACGUGUAGCAGUGAAAUGCGUAGAGAUGUGAGGAAUACAUGGCGAAGGCAGCCCCCUGGGCCAAUACUGACGCUCGUGCACGAAAGCGUGGGGAGCAAAACAGGAUUAGAUACCCUGGUAGUCACGCCCUAAAACGAUGUCAACUAGUUGUUGGGGAUUCAUUUCCUAGUAACGUAGCUAACGCGUGAAGUUGACCGCCUGGGGAGUACGGUCGCAAGAUUAAAACUCAAAUGAAUUGAC
rnacentral:rRNA from 1 species